CCCACUGAUUAGCAUAAGCCCUACCCGUUC
rnacentral:piRNA from 1 species